rnacentral:rRNA from 1 species
GACGAACGCUGGCGGCGUGCUUAACACAUGCAAGUCGAACGGUAAGGCCCUUCGGGGUACACGAGUGGCGAACGGGUGAGUAACACGUGGGUGAUCUGCCCUGCACUUCGGGAUAAGCCUGGGAAACUGGGUCUAAUACCGGAUAGGACCACCGCCUGCAGGGGCGGGGGUGGAAAGCUUUUGCGGUGUGGGAUGGGCCCGCGGCCUAUCAGCUUGUUGGUGGGGUGAUGGCCUACCAAGGCGACGACGGGUAGCCGGCCUGAGAGGGUGACCGGCCACACUGGGACUGAGAUACGGCCCAGACUCCUACGGGAGGCAGCAGUGGGGAAUAUUGCACAAUGGGCGCAAGCCUGAUGCAGCGACGCCGCGUGAGGGAUGACGGCCUUCGGGUUGUAAACCUCUUUCAGCACCGACGAAGCGCAAGUGACGGUAGGUGCAGAAGAAGGACCGGCCAACUACGUGCCAGCAGCCGCAGUAA